rnacentral:rRNA from 1 species
GGGCCCGCACAAGCGGUGGAGCAUGUGGUUUAAUUCGAUGAUACGCGAGGAACCUUACCAGGGCUUAAAUGGGAAAUGACAGGGGCAGAGACGCCCCCUUCUUCGGACAUUUUUCAAGGUGCUGCAUGGUUGUCGUCAGCUCGUGCCGUGAGGUGUCAGGUUAAGUCCUAUAACGAGCGCAACCCCUACCGUUAGUUGCCAGCGAGUCAUGUCGGGGACUCUAACGGGACUGCCGGUGCAAACCGUGAGGAAGGUGGGGACGACGUCAAAUCAUCACGGCCCUUACGUCCUGGGCCACACACGUGCUACAAUGCCCAGUACAAUGGGAAGCAAUACCGCGAGGUGGAGCAAAUCCUCAAAACUGGGCCCAGUUCAGAUUGUAGUCUGCAACUCGACUACAUG